UCGUGAGACAGUUCGGUCCCUAUCCGUCGUGGGCGUAGGAAAUUUGAGAGGAGCUGUCCUUAGUACGAGAGGACCGGGAUGGACGCACCGCUGGUGUACCAGUUGUUCUGCCAAGGGCAUAGCUGGGUAGCUAUGUGCGGAAGGGAUAAGUGCUGAAAGCAUCUAAGCAUGAAGCCCCCCUCAAGAUGAGAUUUCCCAUAGCGUAAGCUAGUAAGAUCCCUGAAAGAUGAUCAGGUUGAUAGGUUCGAGGUGGAAGCAUGGUGACAUGUGGAGCUGACGAAUACUAAUAGAUCGAGGACUUAACCAUAUAA
rnacentral:rRNA from 1 species